GAGUUUGAUCAUGGCUCAGAUUGAACGCUGGCGGAAUGCUUUACACAUGCAAGUCGAACGGCAGCACGGACUUCGGUCUGGUGGCGAGUGGCGAACGGGUGAGUAGCAUAUCGGAACGUAUCCAAUAAUGGGGGAUAACUAAUCGAAAGGUUGGCUAAUACCGCGUACGCCCUACGGGGAAAGCAGGGGAUCUUCGGACCUUGCGUUAAUGGAGCGGCUGAUAUCUGAUUAGCUAGUUGGUUGAGGUAAAGGCUCACCAAGGCGACGAUCAGUAGCUGGUCUGAGAGGACGACCAGCCACACUGGAACUGAGACACGGUCCAGACUCCUACGGGAGGCAGCAGUGGGGAAUUUUGGACAAUGGGCGCAAGCCUGAUCCAGCCAUUCCGCGUGAGUGAAGAAGGCCUCGGUU
rnacentral:rRNA from 1 species